UAUAAACUUUAUUAGAUCAAGAUUUAAGACAUACAAGACAAUUUCUUUAAGUCUUCACAGUAGUGACUUUAUAUAGAAGAAUACUGUGAUGGGACUGUACUGUAAUUUAUUAUAAAGACCUUGCUCAUGGUGAUAUGUACAUACAUUUUUCUUUCUUUUGCUGCUGUGUUAGUUGGUAAUAAGUUUUUCACUGUGUGGUAUUUAUUGUUCUAAAUCACAACAGAAAUCUUAUAUUAGAGUAUACAUUAAUUCAUGAUCCUUCAAUUAUAUUAUUUAUAGCAGGAAUCCUUUGAAUAAGAUAUAGAUGAGGAAGAAUUCAUAUAUUUAAUGAUAACCAAUAGAGAUAAUGCCAUUUUAAAGAAGUAAAUUCUCAUUUUCUAUAUUGAACUAAAUUUCCAAUGAAUGAAAAGUUGAGGUUUCACUAGAUUUCAUUUAUUUUUUUAAGUACUACAUAAAUCUGAUUUCUCAGAUUACUAAAAACUUUGACCUUUAGUGUGAUGUACUUUCUGACCAAAGUGUGUUUUCUGUAUGACAUUUUUUUUAUUUUUAAAAAGGAAAUUAUAUCAAGAAUAUUGGGAAAACUUACCCUUGGCAUAAGCAUGACUUAAUUUUUUAAGUCAGUAGAUGUUCCUGCUUUGUAAAAUAGAACUUGGAAAAGUAAAAGGAAUCUCAAAACAUAGUAAUCACUGAACUAUCCAGAGAAAAAUUAAAUGUUCUUUCAGUAACUAUAAGCAUUUUAUUAUGUGACUUAGACCAGCCACCACUCCAACACCAUAGUAAAUACUUAAAUUGAUAGCUAUGAUACCAUAGUGAAAUAAAAAUUAACAAUUUUAUAAAUUAUAUCCACUAUAAAAAUAGUUGUCAUAUUCAUCAUUAAUUUUAAGAUUAUAGUUUAUAGUAUGCCUUCAUACAUCAUGAUCACUUGUAGGUGUAUUUUUAUUUUUAACACUAUUCUAUUUUAAAGGAAUUUGAAGGGAUUUACAAAACAGUUGUUUGUACAAAAUACUGAACAUUCCAACCAUGUAAAUUUGCAUGAUCUCAUGCAUCAGCAAGAGAAACUCGGGUGAUCAUUUGGUUCUAAAUUCUCUAACUAGAAAGUUGAUCCUUUUCACAGUAGAAAACACUUAUAUUCAGAGGCUAAAGUGAAAGCCAUAAACUUAAGCAGUAACAAAUAUGAAGUUAAGCUGUCUUAUGUGAGUUAUUAUACCCUACAAAGUACCUGUGUUAAACACACCCUUCAGUGAAAAAUGCAAAGCCAGAGGAUAGUAAAAAUCUCCAGUGCAAGAAAGUACUAAGUACAAACUAUAUGAUACCAACACAUUGCUGUCGUUCAUCCCAAGUUCACUACAAGCUGUCAGCUCCCAAGUAGCCACAGACUGCAACCUACACAUCCCACUGUCUCAAAGACAUGGGAAUAAACUGUUAUUUGUUUGCAGAAGAGAGUUAUCAAUAUAAAUAUUGAACAAAAACCAAAGGAUGUUUACAUUUCACAUCAUGGAUCUGAAAGGCUCCCUUAGCUUUGCUUUAGGAGAGUCUUUGUCACUCUCCUACAUGCGUUUUGUAUCAUUGCUAAGCAUUAAGGAACUGCAGUCUGCACUGAACAUUUCUAUACUUUGGAUACUACCUAAUGAUGGUACUUGCUUGGGUCAGGAACAUAUCAGCUAAGAUGAGAAAAGGCUGCUUGUAGUUCCAGGAAUAAUUAACAUUCAGAGAUUACACUUUGUUGCAAAAUGAUGUCUGCCAUAUGCCCACUUUUAUUUACUACAAGUGUUAAGAGAAAUGUGCCUGAAUCACAUUGAUUGUGGACAGAAGGAACUUUAUUUUGUUCUGUUUAAAGAUCCAAGAGAGAUGAUCUAGUCUAGUUUUGUCAAUGAGAAGACAAAACCCUGAUGGUGAAGUAGCUCCCCAUGGCUCCAUCCUCCUAGCCCAGUAACCUUCCUUGGCUUCUUCUCUCCCUGCUUAGCUUUUAAAAGUCACAUAAUUCCAAACAUCAGCCUAGAUGUUCCAUGCAAAACUUGUUAGUUAUGCUUACUUAAAAUGUAAUGCUGUAAUUUUGUAUACAAAGGGGGUUUCACCCUCCCUUUUUAAUUUAUAUAACACUGUUAUCCCAUCAGUUUUGUUACCAGACUUCCUUGGCACCUGCAGAAUAUGUAAUUACUGUGAAUUCUUAGUAAACAGUGCUGGUUAGCAGCACAUAGGCUGAUGCCAGAAAGAAAGCUCUGUGCUUUCACGUUUGUAAUUUUUUUAGUUAAAAUUAACAAUGUACAUUAUAGAAAUUAAAUAUUGGGUACUGUAUCUUGAGUUUUGAGAAUUAUUUGAGUCUGAACCACUGUAAGAGAACAAGCUGACCUGGGAUAUCCUUUUAGCUUCCUACACCAUCUGUUACCUGUUAUGUAUCUUUCCUAGUAGUAUGUUCUUCUUCACUCGGCUUUUUAAGAUACUUUUGACUAUAUUUCUGAGAUUGGUUUACUGGCUCAAAAAGCCUCCAAGCUAAUGAUGAGGGUGCACGUAUAGUGAGUACUACCUAAACUUGUUUUUUUAAGGAGUAGAUUUCUAUUAGAGACAAACUUCCAGAUCAUGUAAGAAUUCUCAUUGCUUAAUCCAGAUUUGGCACUUUAAAGUACUUAACCCUUGAAAUGCAAAUAAAAAUUCCUCUUUUGAUUU
rnacentral:lncRNA from 1 species